AUUGAACGCUGGCGGCAGGCCUAACACAUGCAAGUCGAGCGGUAACAGAAAGAAGCUUGCUUCUUUGCUGACGAGCGGCGGACGGGUGGGUAAUGCUUGGGAACAUGCCUUGAGGUGGGGGACAACAGUUGGAAACGACUGCUAAUACCGCAUAAUGUCUACGGACCAAAGGGGGCUUCGGCUCUCGCCUUUAGAUUGGCCCAAGUGGGAUUAGCUAGUUGGUGAGGUAAUGGCUCACCAAGGCGACGAUCCCUAGCUGGUUUGAGAGGAUGAUCAGCCACACUGGGACUGAGACACGGCCCAGACUCCUACGGGAGGCAGCAGUGGGGAAUAUUGCACAAUGGGCGCAAGCCUGAUGCAGCCAUGCCGCGUGUGUGAAGAAGGCCUUCGGGUUGUAAAGCACUUUCAGUCAGGAGGAAAGGUUAGUAGUUAAUACCUGCUAGCUGUGACGUUACUGACAGAAGAAGCACCGGCUAACUCCGUG
rnacentral:rRNA from 1 species